GUCAGAGGCUGGGUCUUUGCGGGCAAGGUGAGUCCUCACUUCAUUCAACUGGCCUACAAAGUCCCAGUUUCUGGC
rfam:Xiphophorus maculatus strain JP 163 A Contig246.24, whole genome shotgun sequence.